AUUGAACGCUGGCGGCAGGCCUAACACAUGCAAGUCGAACGAGUGGCGGACGGGUGAGUAAUGUCUGGGACACUGCCUGAGGGAGGGGGAUAACUAAUGGAAACGGUAGCUACUACCGCAUACCAUCAGAUGUGCCCAGAUGGGUUUAGAGUGUGGGUGGGGUAACGGCUCACCAAGGCGACGAUCCCUAGCUGGUCGGAGAGGAUGACCAGCCACACUGGAACUGAGACACGGUCCAGACUCCUACGGGAGGCAGCAGUGGGGAAUAUUGGACAAUGGGCGAAAGCCUGAUGCAGCCAUGCCGCGUGUAUGAAGAAGGCCUUCGGGUUGUAAAGUACUUUCAGUGGGGAGGCGUUACCCGCAGAAUAAGCACCGGCUAACUCCGUGCCAGCAGCCGCGGUAAUUC
rnacentral:rRNA from 1 species